GUCCCCGUGGAGCAAUGUAGCUUACUCCCAAAAUGUGGCUUUAUGAGAUGAAUCAUGAUAUACAUACCGGGGGAGCUGGUGGUUCGAAUCCACCCGGGGACA